GGCUGACUGUGUUAAAGAGGGAGAUUAGCCAGAGCUUCCAGUGUGAGUAGCAUGGGGAGAGCAACUGGUCCUAUUGAACCCCUGCACAGCAUUCCUUCACUGGCUGUUACUGGUGUCUAGUGUUUCUUUUUAGACUGGGAGCCCUUGGAGAACAGAUUUUUGUCCAUCAAAGAUCAAGCUGCUUCUCCCUACCUUUUAAUGCUCAUGCAGAGAAUGCUGGCUAGAGGUACAAGUAACACUAUUGCCCGCACUUGUGCAUUACUCACACUUGGAAGCCUCUGCAGUAUUUUAACUUCUUCAGCAGAAGAUUAAAGGACUGACCAUACUUGGAAUUACAUUUUGUUUUGAUUUAUAAUUUGCUAAACAAAAAAGGGACUUUUCUGUUUAUAACCUAACAAUGUUCUCCUUGUAAUAAUUCUUAAGUAAGUAAUAAUUACUUAAGUACAUAAAUGGGGAUUUA